GGCGACGGUUGUCCAGGUUCAAGUGCGUAGGCUUAAGAGUUAGGUAAAUCCGGCUCUUUUUAAGGCUGAGACACGACGUCGAGCACCUACGGGUGUGAAGUCAUUGAUGCCAUGCUUCCAGGAAAAGCCUCUAAGCUUCAGAUUGUAAGGAAUCGUACCCCAAACCGACACAGGUGGUCGGGUAGAGAAUACCAAGGCGCUUGAGAGAACUCGGGUGAAGGAACUAGGCAAAAUGGUACCGUAACUUCGGGAGAAGGUACGCUCUCGACGGUGAAGUCCCUUGCGGAUGGAGCUAUUGAGAGUCGCAGAUACCAGGUGGCUGCAACUGUUUAUUAAAAACACAGCACUGUGCAAAAUCGUAAGAUGACGUAUACGGUGUGACGCCUGCCCGGUGCCGGAAGGUUAAUUGAUGGGGUUAGACUUCGGUCGAAGCUCUUGAUCGAAGCCCCGGUAAACGGCGGCCGUAACUAUAACGGUCCUAAGGUAGCGAAAUUCCUUGUCGGGUAAGUUCCGACCUGCACGAAUGGCGUAAUGAUGGCCACGCUGUCUCCACCCGAGACUCAGUGAAAUUGAAAUCGCUGUGAAGAUGCAGUGUACCCGCGGCUAGACGGAAAGACCCCGUGAACCUUUACUACAGCUUGGCACUGAACAUUGACCCUACAUGUGUAGGAUAGGUGGGAGGCUUUGAAGCACGUACGCCAGUAUGUGUGGAGCCGUCCUUGAAAUACCACCCUUGUAGUGUUGAUGUUCUAACGUCGACCCCUAAUCGGGGUUGCGGACAGUGCCUGGUGGGUAGUUUGACUGGGGCGGUCUCCUCCCAAAGAGUAACGGAGGAGCACGAAGGUGGGCUAAUCACGGUUGGACAUCGUGAGGUUAGUGCAAUGGCAUAAGCCCGCUUGACUGCGAGAAUGACAAUUCGAGCAGGUGCGAAAGCAGGUCAUAGUGAUCCGGUGGUUCUGAAUGGAAGGGCCAUCGCUCAACGGAUAAAAGGUACUCCGGGGAUAACAGGCUGAUACCGCCCAAGAGUUCAUAUCGACGGCGGUGUUUGGCACCUCGAUGUCGGCUCAUC
rnacentral:rRNA from 17 species